rnacentral:rRNA from 1 species
UGGCUCAGGACGAACGCUGGCGGCGUGCUUAACACAUGCAAGUCGAACGAUGAUCAGGAGCUUGCUCCUGUGAUUAGUGGCGAACGGGUGAGUAACACGUGAGUAACCUGCCCCUGACUCUGGGAUAAGCGUUGGAAACGACGUCUAAUACUGGAUAUGAUCACUGGCCGCAUGGUCUGGUGGUGGAAAGAUUUUUUGGUUGGGGAUGGACUCGCGGCCUAUCAGCUUGUUGGUGAGGUAAUGGCUCACCAAGGCGACGACGGGUAGCCGGCCUGAGAGGGUGACCGGCCACACUGGGACUGAGACACGGCCCAGACUCCUACGGGAGGCAGCAGUGGGGAAUAUUGCACAAUGGGCGAAAGCCUGAUGCAGCAACGCCGCGUGAGGGAUGACGGCCUUCGGGUUGUAAACCUCUUUUAGUAGGGAAGAAGCGAAAGUGAC